CUGCUCAGAACGAACGCUGGCGGCAUGCCUAACACAUGCAAGUCGAACGAGACCUUCGGGUCUAGUGGCGCACGGGUGCGUAACGCGUGGGAAUCUGCCCUUGGGUGCGGAAUAACUUUCCGAAAGGAAUGCUAAUACCGCAUAAUGUCGCAAGACCAAAGAUUUAUCGCCCAAGGAUGAGCCCGCGUAAGAUUAGCUAGUUGGUGGGGUAAAAGCCUACCAAGGCGACGAUCUUUAGCUGGUCUGAGAGGAUGAUCAGCCACACUGGGACUGAGACACGGCCCAGACUCCUACGGGAGGCAGCAGUGGGGAAUAUUGGACAAUGGGCGAAAGCCUGAUCCAGCAAUGCCGCGUGAGUGAUGAAGGCCCUAGGGUUGUAAAGCUCUUUUACCCGGGAUGAUAAUGACAGUACCGGGAGAAUAAGCUCCGGCUAACUUCGUGCCAGCAGCC
rnacentral:rRNA from 1 species